AUUGAACGCUGGCGGCAGGCCUAACACAUGCAAGUCGAACGAGUGGCGGACGGGUGAGUAAUGUCUGGGAAACUGCCUGAUGGAGGGGGAUAACUACUGGAAACGGUAGCUAAUACCGCAUACCAUCGGAUGUGCCCAGAUGGGAUUAGCUAGUAGGUGGGGUAAAGGCUCACCGAGGCGACGAUCCCUAGCUGGUCUGAGAGGAUGACCAGCCACCCUGGAACUUAGACCGAGUCCAGACGCCUACGGGAGGCAGCAGUGGGGAAUAUUGCACAAUGGGCGCAGGCCUGAUGCAGCCAUGCGGCGUGUAUGAAGAAGGCCUUCGGGUUGUAAAGUACUUUCGGCGGGGAGGCGUUACCCGCAGAAUAAGCACCGGCUAACUCCGUGCCAGCGGCCGCGGUAAUUC
rnacentral:rRNA from 1 species